rnacentral:rRNA from 1 species
CACGUGACUAACUACCUCGAGUGGGGAAUACCUCGGGAAACCGGGGCUAACACCGCAUAACAUCUACGGAUCAAAUGCGUAAGCAGCUUGAGGAGGGGGUCGCGGCUGAUUAGCUAGUUGGCGGGGUAAUGGCCCACCAAGGCAAUGAUCAGUAGCCGGCCUGAGAGGGCGCACGGCCACACUGGAACUGAAACACGGUCCAGACUCCUACGGGAGGCAGCAGUGGGGAAUUUUGCGCAAUGGGGGAAACCCUGACGCAGCAACGCCGCGUGGAGGAUGAAGCCCCUUGGGGUGUAAACUCCUUUCGAUCGGGACGAUGAUGACGGUACCGGAUGAAGAAGCACCGGCUAACUCUGUGCCA